GAAGCAAAUGAUGAUAGCAAGACAGGGACAUCAGAACCCUCCGGGGUAAUGACAGACUACGUCUAUAAUGGGAAUCUCUCUGAUGUUUU
rfam:Brachypodium distachyon strain Bd21 chromosome 4, whole genome shotgun sequence.